rnacentral:rRNA from 1 species
CGCACGGGUGCGUAACGCGUAUGCAACCUACCAUCAACAGGGGGAUAACACUGAGAAAUUGGUACUAAUACCCCAUAAUAUCUCAUGCGGCAUCGCAUGGGGUUGAAAACUCCGGUGGUUGAUGAUGGGCAUGCGUUGUAUUAGCUGGUUGGUGAGGUAACGGCUCACUAAGGCGACGAUACAUAGGGGGACUGAGAGGUUAACCCCCCACAUUGGUACUGAGACACGGACCAAACUCCUACGGGAGGCAGCAG